CUGACAGAAAGAGUAGUGAGCACGCAAAAGAAAUGGUAUAAACCUAUACAAUUUGCCUCUGUGUGCUCACUCUCUUCUGUCAG
rnacentral:pre_miRNA from 1 species